AUGAUCUUAAAGGUCCCUUCCAACCCAAACCAUUCUGUGAAUUCUGUGAGUGUAUUAUUUUGGGUGAAUGUCCUCCCAGACUUUAACAGGCAUCUGUCAGCACACACAGCCUUGCUCAACAAUUCCGACGUGUUACCAACUUCCACAGAAAACAUACAGAGCCUGAAAGCUGCUGGCGAGCGGCGGGCAAGGAGCAGUCCGCAGAGGAUGGCGGUGGGCAGCCCAGCCACGCUUAUCGCUCGACAGCAUCGCCGACUCCGCAGAAAAGGGCCUAAAUCCGAGGGGUGGCAGCGACCGGACGGAGCCAAAGACCGCAGCAGCCGGGCCGAGCCCAGAUGCCAGGCCGGCCCCUCCGCUCCUGAGGCACACCCUAUCCCGCCCCGUCCCUCCCGCCAGGGCACAGGGGUCCGCCGCGACAUCGCCUCCCACCUCAGCUACCUCCCUCCCGGCGCAGACGGCCCCGCAGCACCGCGCUCCAUUACCUGUCGGCCUCCCGCAGGGCCCUGCCCCCCGCACUGCGGCCCCCGCCGCCCGCACAUCCGCCCCCUCCUGCGCCCACCGCAGCGCUCACAGCCACUUCCGCCCCGCCACUUCCGCUCGCUGCCGGAAGGGGCGGGCGCAGUCACCAUGGCGACGACGGUGUUCGGCCGUGGGCGGGAACGGACUGUCGGCGUUGCCAUGGAGACGGCAGGGCGGAAUUUAUCAGCCCCGCCCCUCGGUGGGCUGCCCCUGCGAACGGCGAAAAAUAGGUGGAGACCUUGUAUCGAAACAGAAGAGAGACCAGAAAUUGGAGAAACACCUACGUGGCUUAGACAUGAAAUGGGUGCUGAGCUUCUCAGAGCUGUCAGGAUUGCAUUUCUUCUGAGGAUUCCCGGAUGGAGCGUUCUAGGCAUCAGCAGACCAGCUUUUUGAUACCAGAGUUCAUCUGUACAUUUUCUUCUCCGGACUGAAUAGAUACUGAAUGGUGAUUUCGCUGGGCUUCACUUCCAAUUAACACAUCCAGAAAAGCAGUUGGGACACAUCCAUAAGAAGAUGCAGGCACUUAAGGGAAAUCUGGAUUUUUAUUAUUAAUUAAUUUUAAGUGCAGUAAAAUUAAUCAAUGAUCAAUGAAAUUUAUACUUGAAAGCAGGACCCUUUGGUUUCUCAAGCUCAGAAAGAACCAGUAUUUUAUUAUUCUUUCUCCCUCAGAAUGAUAAUUUUUUUCAAAAUGCUUCUUUUUUAAGUCAAUUUAAAACUUUGUUCAGUAAGAUUAAUAUUGGUGCGCAUUGGUUUUUUUAAGUAGUUCUGAAAAGAAAUCAGAUUAAAUAUUGCUACACUGACAUAGCAUGGAAAAAAUCACCUGUUAAGAAAGCCAAGUGUCCUUCUGAUGUAACUUUGUUUUAUAUACCAGAUCAUAAUUUUGAUUGAGAAUAUUCUUAUUUCCAGCCAUUGGAAGCUUCUGCUUUUCAGCUUUAUGAGCCUCAAGUAUGUCUAUUAAGAAGAAAAUUGAUUCAAAGCCAUUUUUUGUUUUGUUGCGUUCCAACUAGAAUACAAUCACUGCAUCUUUUUGUGUAGAUAAUCCAGAAAGCUUUCUUAUGGGAAUUUGCUUCCUGUUCAAUUUGGCUUUUUGUCUUCUCUUGUUCAUUUGUUGUUAUUGGUUUACAGUAUGCUGUAAAUGAUAAAGACUCCAACGCCUUGAGCUGAUUCUAAAAAUCAAGAGUAUUUGGCCCUUUCUUACAUGAACAAAGCCAAUUUGUUCCAUUGUGAUUGAUCUGUAAUUUCCUUUUAUAUUUUAAAAUAAAUGUCUUAUCAGUACUCA
rnacentral:lncRNA from 1 species